rnacentral:rRNA from 1 species
GAUGAACGCUGGCUACAGGCUUAACACAUGCAAGUCGAGGGGAAACGACGGGGAAGCUUGCUUCCCCGGGCGUCGACCGGCGCACGGGUGAGUAACGCGUAUCCAACGUGCCUCUGACUGAGGGAUAACCCGUCGAAAGUCGGCCUAAUACCUCAUGGCAUCGUCUGCGGGCAUCCAACGACGAUUAAAGAUUUCAUCGGUCAGAGAUGGGGAUGCGUCUGAUUAGCUUGUUGGCGGGGUAACGGCCCACCAAGGCGACGAUCAGUAGGGGUUCUGAGAGGAAGGUCCCCCACAUUGGAACUGAGACACGGUCCAAACUCCUACGGGAGGCAGCAGUGAGGAAUAUUGGUCAAUGGGCGAGAGCCUGAACCAGCCAAGUAGCGUGCAGGAUGACGGCCCUAUGGGUUGUAAACUGCUUUUAUGCGGGGAUAAAGUGAGGGACGUGUCCUUCAUUGCAGGUACCGCAUGAAUAAGGACCGGCUAAUUCCGUG